GCGAACGGGUGAGUAACACGUGGGCAAUCUGCCCUGCACUCUGGGACAAGCCCUGGAAACGGGGUCUAAUACCGGAUACUGACCCGCUUGGGCAUCCAAGCGGUUCGAAAGCUCCGGCGGUGCAGGAUGAGCCCGCGGCCUAUCAGCUUGUUGGUGAGGUAAUGGCUCACCAAGGCGACGACGGGUAGCCGGCCUGAGAGGGCGACCGGCCACACUGGGACUGAGACACGGCCCAGACUCCUACGGGAGGCAGCAGUGGGGAAUAUUGCACAAUGGGCGAAAGCCUGAUGCAGCGACGCCGCGUGAGGGAUGACGGCCUUCGGGUUGUAAACCUCUUUCAGCAGGGAAGAAGCGAAAGUGACGGUACCUGCAGAAGAAGCGCCGGCUAACUACGUGCCAGCAGCCGCGGUAAUACGUAGGGCGCGAGCGUUGUCCGGAAUUAUUGGGCGUAAAGAGCUCGUAGGCGGCUUGUCACGUCGGUUGUGAAAGCCCGGGGCUUAACCCCGGGUCUGCAGUCGAUACGGGCAGGCUAGAGUUCGGUAGGGGAGAUCGGAAUUCCUGGUGUAGCGGUGAAAUGCGCAGAUAUCAUGAGGAACACCGGUGGCGAAGGCGGAUCUCUGGGCCGAUACUGACGCUGAGGAGCGAAAGCGUGGGGAGCGAACAGGAUUAGAUACCGUGGUAGUCCACGCCGUAAACGGUGGGCACUAGGUGUGGGCGACAUUCCACGUCGUCCGUGCCGCAGCUAACGCAUUAAGUGCCCCGCCUGGGGAGUACGGCCGCAAGGCUAAAACUCAAAGGAUUGACGGGGGCCCGCACAAGCGGCGGAGCAUGUGGCUUAAUUCGACGCAACGCGAAGAACCUUACCAAGGCUUGACAUACACCGGAAACGUCCAGAGAUGGGCGCCCCCUUGUGGUCGGUGUACAGGUGGUGCAUGGCUGUCGUCAGCUCGUGUCGUGAGAUGUUGGGUUAAGUCCCGCAACGAGCGCAACCCUUGUCCCGUGUUGCCAGCAAGCCCUUCGGGGUGUUGGGGACUCACGGGAGACCGCCGGGGUCAACUCGGAGGAAGGUGGGGACGACGUCAAGUCAUCAUGCCCCUUAUGUCUUGGGCUGCACACGUGCUACAAUGGCCGGUACAAUGAGCUGCGAUACCGCGAGGUGGAGCGAAUCUCAAAAAGCCGGUCUCAGUUCGGAUUGGGGUCUGCAACUCGACCCCAUGAAGUCGGAGUCGCUAGUAAUCGCAGAUCAGCAUUGCUGCGGUGAAUACGUUCCCGGGCCUUGUACACACCGCCCGUCACGUCACGAAAGUCGGUAACACCCGAAGCCGGUGGCCCAACCC
rnacentral:rRNA from 1 species